GGGGAUAUAGCUCAGUGGUAGAGCACCUGCCUAGCAAGCAAGAGGCCUGGAGUCCAGUUCCCA
rnacentral:tRNA from 1 species